rnacentral:lncRNA from 1 species
UUUUAUGACUAUAUUGGAAUUUCUGAAUGAUAGUGGACAGCAGGACAAUUCCACCGUAAAUAGAGGAGAAAAGGAAAAAAAUGAUUGAUGUGUUAAACAUCAUAUUAUUGCAAAACUAAUAAGAAGUAACCUGAUCAGAACAUUACACCUGAUAUAACUAACAAUCCAAUCUGCAGUGGCAAACGGAAAAGGGCGCGCGUACAUGCAUCUGCAGAAAGUGCUAAGGUAGUGUUUGGUUGGCUCAAAUGUAACGUAAUCUGAUUACUGAAGGUAACAAAUCCCAUUACAUAUGUUUGGUUGCGGUGGUUUGUAAUCAAUUGACACUGUAAUCGAAUCCCUUACCUAAAUAAUAUCUAUACAAGCUUGUUACCCCUCCUCCCCCACCGUAAUCAGAUAUAGCACCCACACAGUAAUCUGAUUACGUUACCAGAGUGCAACCAAACAAAGAGGGCAAUCACCCAUUCCACCUCCAAAUACACUGUAAUCUGAUUCCCUUUGCGUUUACAUUACCUUAGCACGAACCAAACACUAUCUAAGUAUAUAUCAAUAGCAGAGAACAUCUGCUGGAUCAUCAGUUUCUCAGAGUUCAUCGUGACACAGGCAUGAACACAAUGAACACGUAAGAACACAGAACAGGCGUUGUAUGGCAAUCGAUCAAAUCGCGAGUCCAACACAACUGAGAGGCCUCUUCUCGUUGACACCGCCUAACGCACCGACCAGUGGGCGGUGAUGGCAAGCGCGGCGCUGACCCCCGCGAGAUCAGCCGCGGCCUUGAGGCCUGCGUGGAGGGCGAUGAAGCGCUCAACGUCGAGUAAGCCGUCCAUGCCCGGAAUAAUCGGGCCGUCGUGCACGUCGCCGGGCGUCCGCAGGUGGACGCGGCACGUCUCCACACAGCCGCACGCCUCCUCAGCGCAAGCCCUGGCGCUGUGGAACAGGCUCAGAGCAAGCUGAACGUGCUGGACGCGGGUUGGCCGAGGUGCCGUAGAGCACCAAGAGCUCGGCCGCACCUCGAUGGAGGACGGGACCGUCCGUAGGGUGGGGUGCCGCGGGCAGCUGGGGGCGGCGGGCGGUGAGCAGCGGGUGUUCGGGGGCGGCGGACCGACGACCGGGGGGUGGCGGAUGGCGGGCCGGCGGUCGGCAAUCGGGGGCGGCGGGUGACUGGCCGCCGAGGACGGCGCGCGAAGGAGGCCACGGUUGUGCGGGGGAGGAGCGGAUGGUGUCGGAAGAAAUAGAUUGGGAGAAAAAUGAACUGUUUCCUUCAUAAGCAGGUGGGUAAUUUUUUACAAAACACUUGAAAGCAGGAGAAAUGUGCUUUUAGUUUUGUACUAGAGCAAAAGCACAUUUUGAAUAAAAGCACAUAGGACUUUUAAGCUAUUUGGUUGACUUUUAGCUUUUGCAAGAGUAAAAGCAGGGUGAAAAGCCUAACCAGUGGCCGGUGGGCUGCAAAACUCCACGCCUGCUCGUCCAUCACCACAACCUCUUCGCUAAUCCGGCCGGCCGCUGUCAGGCUACGCCAGGACGCCGGC